CCAGAUCAGAGGCAGUAGGGAUGACCAGGGAUGUUCUCUGUUUAGUGAGUCCUCCAGAUCAGAGGCAGUAGGGAUGACCAGGGAUGUUCUCUGUUUAGUGAGUCCUCCAGAUCAGAGGCAGUAGGGAUGACCAGGGAUGUUCUCUCGCUAAAUAUAGACUUAGCUUUCAUUCGACAUACAAUUUGACAUGCUUCUAUGACCUUGACAUGUUGGUGCUCAUGGGUCCUUUUUACAUGGAAAUGCCCUAACCUAUUAGAGCCAUACUAAGCUAGCAGUUUCAUCAAGCUCUCCAAAAUAAUGAUAUCAAUGUUUCAAAGUUCAUCAAAAACAACCGUUGGCAACAUGAGGUAAGUAGUUAAAGAACAACGUUAUUACCAAUAAUGCUAACAAUGCUAACAAAGGCAUAAGACUUAAUGGAGAGCGCUAAAGUACCGUAUGCAGAAGAGAAACACUUUUCAGGCCACUCCAAUAAAGAACAGACUUAAGUUAGGAGAAUAAACACAGCAGGUUAGGAGAAUAAACACAGCAGGUUAGGAGAAUAAACACAGCAGGUUAGGAGAACUUACGCAGCAGGUUAGGAGAAUAAACACAGCAGGUUAGGAGAAUGAGGUUUAAGUUUAUGAAAAAGGUUAGCUCUCCUGACCUGCUCCAACGAAAAUCACCUCGUUUUGAAGUGGCUCUCCCGUAUGCAGAAUCAAACAUGAUGUUCUUUACUGGAGAAACCAAACUUUUUGUUUACUGAGGUCACAUGACGGGUAAGGUCAAAAAACCGCCAGCAGCGGACUGACAAACACACCCAAAUGGUACAUGAAUAAUCACAUUACAGAAGAAAAACUAAGAAUAGAGUUUCUAGACUCUACACAAGCUAUACCUGUCCCAAACACUGAACACUCCACACAAGCUAUACCUGUCCCAAACACUGAACACUCUACACAAGCUAUACCUGUCCCAAACACUGAACACUCUACACAAGCUAUACCUGUCCCAAACACUGAACACUCUACACAGCUAUACCUGUCCCAAACACUGAACACUCUACACAGCUAUACCUGUCCCAAACACUGAACACUCUACACAGCUAUACCUGUCCCAAACACUGAACACUCUACACAGCUAUACCUGUCCCAAAC
ensembl:lncRNA